UACGGAGGGUGCGAGCGUUGUCCGGAUUUAUUGGGUUUAAAGGGUGCGUAGGCGGAUAGGUAAGUCCGUGGUGAAAUCCUGCAGCUUAACUGCAGAACUGCCGUGGAUACUAUCUAUCUUGAAUGUCGUGGAGGUUAGCGGAAUAUGUCAUGUAGCGGUGAAAUGCUUAGAUAUGACAUAGAACACCCAUUGCGAAGGCAGCUAACUACGCGAUAAUUGACGCUGAUGCACGAAAGCGUGGGGAUCAAACAGG
rnacentral:rRNA from 1 species